GAGAAGUGUAGAAAACCACAGCUCUGUACUUCACAUCUUUCUCCUAGAGGAGAGUCAGUGCGCAUGCGCAGAGCUGCUGAAAAGCCACAGUGAGAAACCACGGCCGUGAGAUGCGCGCGCUGAGGACGCCGCAGCACAGCAAUGCCUCCAGCCUCGCCUCCCCUCCAGCAGCUCUGACCGGUCUCCCACCGCAAUGGGUUAGAGGGGGACAUGGAGGCAAACUUUGACACGCCGACACCGCUGGGAACGGCCGGAGAGCUGAGCUGCCGCGCGCACAACAACAACAACAACAGAGAGAAUUGAGAGCGAUUAAAGAAAGGAACCUCUUUCGUUUUCUGCCUGUUUCCUCUGCUGCUUUGGCUUUGAGAGAUGAUCACGGAGCUGCUGUGCACCGCCGUGGCUGUGGGUCUCUAUCUGAACACGCUGGACGCAGAUUUCUGCUACGAUGACAGUCGAGCCAUCAAGACAAACCAGGAUCUCCUCCCAGACACUCCAUGGACCAACAUCCUGUACGAUGACUUCUGGGGCACCCUGCUCACCCACAGCGGCAGCCACAAAUCUUUCCGUCCCCUCUGCACCCUCUCCUUCCGUCUCAACUACGCCGUUCACGGCCUCCACCCCUGGGGCUACCACCUGCUGAACAUCGUGCUGCACGGCCUGGUCACAGCCCUCGUCACAACCCUCGGUCGCUCGCUGCUCGGCGGGGGGCCGUGGAGCCUUUUCGCCGGCCUGCUUUUCGCCUCCCACCCCGUGCACACGGAAGCAGUGGCCGGCGUGGUCGGCAGGGCGGACGUCGGCGCGGCCUUGCUUUUCCUGCUCUCGCUCCUCUGCUACGCGAGACACUGCCAGCUUCGAAACGAGCCGCACGGAGCCGUUUGGAGCCGGCGAUGCGGAGGCGGCGGCUCGGCUGCCAGAUGCUGGGGCUGGAUGCUGGGCAGCCUGUGGUGCGCAGCUGCCAGCAUGUUGUGGAAGGAGCAGGGGGUGACCGUCCUGGCUGUGUCGGCUGUGUAUGACCUCUUUGUGUUCCAGAGACUUCGCCUGCACCAGGCACUGCUGCUCUUAGGGAAGAAAAAAAACAUCAAUGUUUUGCUGAGUCUCUGCACACUGGCUUCCUGGGGAGUGAUUCUGCUGUCAGCUCGUGUCUACUGGAUGGGAAAUAAGCCUCCCAACUUCUCCAACUCUGACAACCCCGCAGCUGAUUCGCCGCAUUUUCUCAUUCGAACAUUAACGUUCUUCUACUUGCCUGCUGCCAAUGCUUGGCUCCUGCUUUGCCCAGACAAGCUCAGUUUUGAUUGGUCCAUGGAUGCCGUACCCUUGGUCAGGUCUCUAACCGACUGGAGGAACCUUCACACCAUUGCAUUUUAUGGCAGCAUUGUCUGUCUGACUUUGUUUGGCCUUCGAGGUCCCUCAUCCUCAGUGGAAAAAGAAACCAAUGGGAAACCCCAUGUGACAAAUGGGAAGUCUAUUACUAAUGGAAAUGGGUAUCAUGUCCCCGACCCAAACCAAAACACAGAUCUGGGGUUGGCAAAAACCACCCUGAAUGGAUCCGCCAUACCCCACCACUGUUCCCCACAAACAUCCCUGCCCCCUACAGCAAACCUUGUAGUGUUUUCAUUAGGUAUCAUGGCAUUGCCUUUCCUCCCAGCCACCAACCUAUUCUUUUAUGUGGGUUUUGUAAUUGCAGAGAGGGUACUUUACAUUCCCAGCAUAGGCUUUUGUAUACUGGUUGCAGCCGGUGCAAGAACCUUGUAUAUCAGACUGAGGACUCGAGGCUGCAAGGUCCUAAUGUUGGGUCUUUGCAGUGGACUAGUGCUGCUCAAUGGCCUCAGAACUGUUCAAAGGAACAAAGACUGGAGCAACGAGGAAAAUCUUUACAAGUCUGGGAUCAAGGUAAACCCUGCCAAAGCCUGGGGAAACUUGGGGAAUGUACUGAAGAACCAUGGCAAGAUGGCAGAGGCAGAGAAGGCUUACCGGAAUGCUCUGCACUACCGAGGGAACAUGGCUGACAUGCUUUAUAACCUAGGUUUGCUGCUGCAGGAGAGUGAACGUUUUUCCGAAGCACUGCAUUAUUACACACUAGCCAUUGGGAGUCGGCCUACUCUGGCAUCUGCCUACUUGAACACAGGAAUCGUCCUAAUGAACCAGGGAAACCUGGAAGAGGCCAAACGCACCUUCCUUACAUGUGCCGAGAUUCCCGAUGAAAACCUGAAAGAUCCACAUGCCCACAAAAGCUCUGUAACCAGCUGCCUGUACAACCUGGGGAAACUGCUUCAUGAACAGGGCCAGCAGGAGGAAGCCCUGUCUGUGUAUAAAGAAGCACUGCAGAAAAUGCCGAGGCAGUUUGCGCCACACAGCCUUUUCAAUAUGAUGGGAGAGGCCUACAUGAGGCUGAACAGGCUGGAGGAAGCUGAACAUUGGUACAGGGAGUCCCUUAAAUCCAAACCUGACCAUAUUCCAGCCCACCUCACCUAUGGCAAACUCCUGUCUAUCAUUGGGCAGAAAACCGAUGCAGAGAAAUAUUACCUGAGGGCAAUUCAACUGGAUCCGACAAAAGGAAACUGCUACAUGCACUAUGGGCAGUUCCUGUUGGAGCAGUCUCGUCUGGGUGAGGCUGCGCAGAUGGCAGAACGAGCUGCGGAGUUGGACGGCUCGGAGUUCGACGUGGUCUUCAAUGCUGCUCACAUGUUAAGACAGUCCAAUCUAAACGAGGCAGCAGAGAGGCAGUACGAGCGUGCAGCCAGCCUCAGACCAGAUUACCCAGCCGCUCUGAUGAACCUCGGCGCCAUCCUCCACCUGAACGGGAAGCUUCCCGAGGCCGAGGCCAACUACCUGCGCGCCCUGCAGCUCAAACCCGACGACGUCAUCACCCAGUCCAACCUGCGCAAGCUGUGGAACAUCAUGGAGAGGCAGGGACUCAGGACUAAGCAACGAGGCGACCCUUGAACUGGAUUUGUUGCUGACGGGAACAAGAGGAGACCAAAAAAACAAAAAAAAAAAACUCCCAUCAGUCCAGUUUAAUGGAGCUUUGAUAUAAGCACUGUUACCGUUCAGUGGCUCAGUCUACGCCAACGUCAUUUGGUUUUGGGCCACGUUGAGAUCACUGUGGUUUGAUUGAGGAGCAUUUUGAGAUAAAUACAUUGAGACUGGGUUUUAAGGGAGAACACAAGAGUUUGUAAWUAUUUUGUAACACCAGCUGGUUUGACUUAAACAGGAAGAGCCGAGCUCCGAUUUAUAUGUCGAUGCUUGUUUGCAAGUUUUAGGGAACGACUUUAAAAACAAACAAAAAAAAAAGCCUUUUGUUGUUCCGAAGGGAGCCGUUUAUCGUGCAAAGAUUUUUCAACAGUGUCGUCACAAAAGAAGGAAACUGAACCCCGCGUUUAAAGCAUCUCCGCUUCGGGAAGAAAAGCAGCCAAAUCUGGUGUUGGUGAAUUUGCAUGAUGGUUUAUAGACGCCAUGUUUGGACAAGGAUUUUCAGUGCACAGCCAUCUUUUUAGUACCCUUUUCUAACAGUGUUUUUUUUUUAAAAGCACACUGGAGCCGAUGAUUUGUUUGAACUUGUGAGUAACAGCUCAUGAGGGAGCUCCUCCCCGGUGGUGCCAAAGCCUGCACCGAGUCCUCACACCUCUCGUGCCAACUAAGAACUGUUGUCGCUCGUGUGUCGUGUUUGUUGUGUAAAAUGAUUUUUAUGUCGUGAUCAAAUGAUCGCGUUUAAUUUAUUAAUGUGUCGUAUUUUACAUAAAAUGCCAACACUGUGCCAUUGCAGUCACCCUUUCCCGUUCCUGUAAACAGACGUCUGUAGGCAACACGGCGGUUAUCUUAAAACUGUUCGUUUUUAGCCUCUCGGCUCGGGGACGUCUCAGAGCUGAAGAUCCGUGCCACAGAGAAGAGUUUUUCUGAUGAUCGUGAUGUUUGGUUGAAAUGUAGAAACCGUGUAGCUGAAAUGGUCUUUUGUAAAAGAACAGUGACCCCUUUUUUUCAUAAUAUUAAAAAAAGAUUUUUCUGCGUA